ACCCAAGAAAAGGAGGGUUGGAAGAGUAAACAGGAGAUCUCCACUGGCAAAUAGGUGCAGCAGUAUUGCUGCUAAAGUUCCAUCCCCUGAAUCACUUUCUAUUGACUCUGUACUGAACCACUGCUCCACUUAACCACUGUUAAGAGGAUACUAUGCUUCUGGAGAUGCUGUGUUUCAGUUUUUUAUCAUGCGGAACGUACAAGCAAAGCUGGCUGACAAAUGCUACCGUUCCUUUCAAAAUCUGAAAAAAUGGAUUCCAGAAACAUUGGCCAACAAUUACAUUCUCAGAUUUGUUUGCAGUGGAAGAGAGACAAAUUCAAUGUGAGAGGUAUUGGACUGGCAGCCCUGGAAACUCGUGUUCUCUGUUAACCCAAGCAUAAAUUUUCCCAUGGACUCCCUUUCCUGCAACCCUCCUACUUUUUAAAAUGAGAACUUGCCUGGCUCCACUGCUUUCUUUGUCAUGGAAUCAGCUCCAGUCCCAUCUCAAAGGAAGUGUCGAGAAAAAAAUUGCCACAGGGCAAUGAAUGUAAAAUUCUCCUGUCUGUGGUUACCCCAAAUGACUCCCUCCUCUGUUUUGUUUCCCACUUGUUCUUGUUGUGUGCACACCAUUCUAGUUUCAUUUAUUGUGGUGUCCAGGGAUCGCGGCCCAAUAACACCAAGCAAUUAAAGAGGGUAUUGGUAAUGCAGCCAUCAGCACUUGCAGUUCAAUCACUUCUGAUUCUGACAAGUUUUCCCCAAGGUGCCAGUAGCAUUACAAGGAUUAUGAUUCCAGAAAUAGAACCUGUGAGGCAGAAAGUCAAAACACACAACCAGUUACUCUCCAGCACUAGGACUUUGAAGAGGGAUCCUGUGGAAAAAAGAUAUUGCCAUGGAAUAAGAUCCUGUUCUCCAGGAGUGCCCUGGGAUACUGUAAGCACUGAUGUGUGGGAACUCAAACACAACUGAAGAAUCUGGCUUUUCUGGAGGUUUUACGACAAAACAAAAAAGGUGUUUGUACAAGGAAAUGAGGGUGCCAGGAAAGAAGACAGAUACUCCAUGUUUUCAAGAAAGACAUAUGUACAUAAAAUAGUAGGUAAACUUUGCAGGAUUUCUCCAGUCAUGGUGACAAGUACAAUGACAAUUUGUAGUCUCUGCUGUUAGGGGACAAAUUCUGUCCUUAAAUAUUUCACUGAGACUCUCUUUUGAGCCAUUUGUAUUUAUGCUAGGGCAUUUGUAGGCCAAAUUUGACCCAGAAUUCACAAAUUUGCCCAUCUUGGGGUUUUUCAACUUUGCAUACCUAAAAUGUGUGUGUGGGGAGGCGGGAUGCCUUCACCUUUCAUCCAGCCACCAUUUCAUCUUGUUCUCUGCUCCAUUGUUCAUCUUGCACAGCUUGACUGCAUACAAGAAAAGCAUCCUGACAGCAAAUAAUUGGUGUUUGUGACUAUGGAAUUGAUCAUGUUGCACAGAGGUGUGUGGCAGGCAUUCUGCAUUAUGCUGAAAGCUGCAGAACAAGGUGGGGAGAGAAGUAUUUUAGUAAAUAAAAACGAAUUAUUCCAGGAGACUAGUGAAGAGUCACAGGCAGAAGUUCUGAAUGGAUCAGAGUGGAAAGUAACUGCUUGUAAACAGGAGCAGAAGAAAAUCAGUGAGGCUUACGUUAGUUAACUGUUUCAGAAACAGAAUCUACUUAGAGUCUCAGUCUUUCAAGUUCCCCCCAGCCCUCAAAAAACACAUAUUACAAGACACAUCAGAUUUUCUUAUUCAAUUUUUAAUGAAUGUUGAGAUGAAAACUUCUGAGAAAAACUAAUUUGUUCAAACUCUGGUUUGAAUCUAUAAA